AGCGAACGCUGGCGGCAGGCCUAACACAUGCAAGUCGAACGGAUCCUUCGGGAUUAGUGGCGGACGGGUGAGUAACACGUGGGAACGUGCCUUUAGGUUCGGAACAACUCAGGGGAAACUUGAGCUAAUACCGAAUGUGCCCUUCGGGGAAAGGAUUAUCGCCUUUAGAGCGGCCCGCGUCUGAUUAGCUUGUUGGUGAGGUAAAGGACUCACCAAGGCGACGAUCAGUAGCUGGUCUGAGAGGAUGAUCAGCCACACUGGGACUGAGACACGGCCCAGACUCCUACGGGAGGCAGCAGUUAGGAAUCUUGCGCAAUGGGGGAAACCCGUCGACGCAGCCAUGCCGCGUGAAUGAUGAAGGUCUUAGGAUUGUAAAAUUCUUUCAGCGGGGACGAUAAUGACGGUACCCGCAGAAGAAGCCCCGGCUAACUUCGUGCCAGCAGCCGCGGUAAGGUGCGCGAGU
rnacentral:rRNA from 1 species